rnacentral:rRNA from 1 species
GACGGCCUGUGGGUUGUAAACUCCUUUUCUCAGAGAAGAAGAUCUGACGGUAUCUGAGGAAUAAGCAUCGGCUAACUUCGUGCCAGCAGCCGCGGUAAUACGAGGGAUGCAAGCGUUAUCCGGAAUUAUUGGGCGUAAAGCGUCCUGAGGUGGCUUAAAAAGUCGUUCGUGAAAGCUCAGGGCUUAACCUUGAAAUUGCGGCCGAAACUUCUAAGCUUGAGUAUAGUAGGGGCAAAGGGAAUUUCCGGAGGAAUGGUGAAAUAUGUAGAUAUCGGAAAGAAGGCCAAAGGCGAAAGCACUCUGCUGGGC